GAUCAGCACGCGGCGGUUUACAGGAAGUUCUGGGUGUGCGUUCCACCGCUGUGCGCGGGCGCACGGCCUGCCACAUAAAGGCGUCCCCCGGCCCGCCCAUACUCACCAAGCCGGAAUGUGCAAAGUUAAACAGAAAGGGCUCCAGAACCUCCACAGACGGAGCCAUGCUGCUCAGCCUACCACCCGCGCGGCUAUCGGGCUUCCUCCCCCAAUUUAUUUAGCACUUUAGAGGAUGAUUGCCUAAAUAGUGUUAUGCUAUGUGAUUUUUGUUGUUCCAUUUUUCGGUUUGCUUUAUCUACAUAUGUGUUUUUCUAUCUGUUUAUAUCCUGGGAGACGUAAACCUCCAACUGCUGUAUUAAUGUAGCUUUUUACACAGUUGGUGUGGUUAUGGUGGAUUUGAAAUCCCAAUAUGUACUUAAGUAAAUGUGUGUAGUACAGGUGUGCAUUGUGCAUCCAAGUAGCGUCUGUAAUGGAAAUCUACACUUUACAAAUUUUGGGAAGCAAUACCAACAAGCCUAUCCCAGGGUUUUCCUCCACUUCCGUUAACGCCACAGAGUUAACAAAGUGGAAGAGGCUGUAUACUUUCAAUGAGCUCUAUUAUAACUAACUGAGGAGCAUUGGAAAGAAACAAGUGCAUGCUUGCUGCUCCAGCACAGAGACUUCUCAAUGAGAAUACUCCAAAAGGUAUAUUUACCAAAUUGAAAACUAAACAUGAAUUUCAAAUGUAUGGUCAAAAUAGCUGAAAUGCUAUUCUUUCAGUUCAC